rnacentral:rRNA from 1 species
AAUGAACGUUGGCGGCGUGGAUUAGGCAUGCAGGUCGAGCGCGAACCCCGCAAGGGGUGAAAGCGGCGAAAGGGAGAGUAACGCGUGGGUAUUUACCCUCGGGACUGGGAUAGCUGCGGGAAACUGCAGGUAAUACCAGAUGACGUCCCCGGACCAAAGGUGUGAUUCCGCCUGAGGAUAAGCCCGCGUCCUAUUAGCUAGUUGGUGAGGUAAUGGCUCACCAAGGCAAUGAUGGGUACUGGGUGUGAGAGCACGACCCAGCUCACUGGGACUGAGACACUGCCCAGACGCCUACGGGUGGCUGCAGUCGAGAAUCUUCGGCAAUGGGCGCAAGCCUGACCGAGCGACGCCGCGUGUGGGAUGAAGGCCUUCGGGUUGCAAACCGCUGUCAGAGGGGAGGAAUGGGCGGAGGGUAAUCUCUUCGUUUUGACCUAUCCUCAGAGGAAGUACGGGCUAACUCCGUGCCAGCAGCCGCCGUAA